UGGGGAAUAUUGGACAAUGGGCGCAAGCCUGAUCCAGCAAUGCCGCGUGUGUGAAGAAGGCCUGAGGGUUGUAAAGCACUUUCAGUGGGGAGAAAGAUAUUAUCGUUAAUACCGAUGAUGGAUGAUGUUACCCACAGAAGAAGCACCGGCUAACUCUGUGCCAGCAGCCGCGGUAAUACAGAGGGUGCGAGCGUUAAUCGGAAUUACUGGGCGUAAAGGGUGCGUAGGUGGUUUGGUAAGUUAGAUGUGAAAUUCCUGGGCUUAACCUGGGGACUGCGUCUGAUACUGCUAGGCUAGAGUACUGUAGAGGGAAGUGGAAUUUCCGGUGUAGCAGUGAAAUGCGUAGAUAUCGGAAGGAACAUCAGUGGCGAAGGCGACUUCCUGGACAGAUACUGACACUGAGGCACGAAAGCGUGGGGAGCAAACAGG
rnacentral:rRNA from 1 species